rnacentral:lncRNA from 1 species
AUGAGCCUCCUGGUGGAGGAGAGUGCUCCUGCCUCUCCUGCCUCUCUUUAUGGAUUGUAUGUCAAGGAGACACCCGCAAGGACUCUGGUGGCCUGGACAUACUUCUGGAAGACUGACUCUUCCAGACUGAUGAAACCAAAGGACUGGACAGUGUUGAAUCCUUGGGGGGAAGAAAAACCAACACUUUUUUUUUAAGCUGACAGCACAUUCCAUCCACUCGGCAAUGUAGAACUAAUGAAGAUAUAAGUGUAAGAAAACCUAUAAUUGAAUCCAGCACGUAGCAAGCAUAGUUG